GAGGGUAUAGCUCAGUGGUAGAGUGUAUGCUUAGCAUGCACAAGGUCCUGGGUUCAUUCUCCCAUACCUCCA
rnacentral:tRNA from 1 species